CUCUGUGCCAGCAGCCGCGGUAAGACAGAGGAUGCAAGUGUUAUUCGGAUUGAUUGGGCGUAAAGCGUCUGUAGGCGGUUUAGAAAGUCUUUUGUGAAAUACUUCAGCUCAACUGGAGCUCCGCAAAAGAAACUUCUAGACUUGAGGGAAGUAGAGGUACAGGGAAUUUCCGGUGGAGCGGUGAAAUGCGUAGAUAUCGGAAGGAACACCAAUAUGGCGAAGGCACUGUACUGGGCUUUACCUGACGCUAAGAGACGAAAGCUAAAGGAGUGAUUAGGAUUAGAUACCCUAGUAAUUUUAGCCGUAAACGAUGGAAACUCACUGCCGAGCCGGUAUUCGGAGCGGUGGUCAAGCUAACGCGUGAAGUUUCCCGCCUGGGGAUUACGCAUGCAAAUGUGAAACUCAAAGGAAUUGACGGGGACCCGCACAAGCGGUGGAGUAUGUGGUUUAAUUCGAUGCAACGCGAAAAACCUUACCAAGGUUUGAAAUCAUUCUAAAACUCUUUGAAAGAAGAGCCUCCUUCGGGAUAGAAUGACAGGUGGUGCAUGGCUGUCGUCAGCUCGUGUUGUGAAAUGUCAAGUUAAGUCUUGUAACGAGCGCAACCCAUGUCUUUUGUUGCUGUUUACAGUGCUUAAAAGAGACUGCCGCUCUACAGCGGAGGAAGGUGUGGAUGAUGUCAAGUCAGCAUGCCCCUUAUAUCUUGGGCUACACACGUACUACAAUGGUAGGGACAAUGAGUCGCAAACCUGCGAAGGCUAGCCAAUCUCAAAAACCCUAUCUCAGUUCGGAU
rnacentral:rRNA from 1 species